AGAAAGAUCAAGAUAACAGUGCACAAUAAUGGAAAGAAUGAGACAAAUAGUUGACUUUUCAACAUUCCAUAAAAACUUUGAAGAUCAAAUCAGCAGUUCAAUAGCCUGAGAAGUUACAGGCAAUCACAGGAAGACAAGAGACAAACUUGGAACUCUUCCAAAAGACCCAAGUAAACAGAGAGGAAGUUUUGGAAGAUUGAAUCAGAGCCAGAAUAAACUAGGAUUUCUGUUUAAGAUGGAUAUUACAAAAGGAACUGAAAAAUGAUUCAGGGAGAUACGUUUAGAUCUGGAAUCAGGCAAAGUUGUUUUAAUUAAACUUUUUAGAAUUAAGAUAUUAACUUGCAUCAGUAUUAAUUUACAUGAGAGACUAUUAAGGAUAUACAGAAAAGGUAUUUGACUAAUAACACCUUUUUUCCUUCUUAGUAUCAAUGCCUAUGGUCAAUUAAGUGGGAAAAAAAUCAAACUAAUUUCAUGUAGUUGCUAAUAUAGUAAAAUAAAAUUUGUGUUUUAUAAAAUUA